AGGACGAACGCUGGCGGCGUGCUUAACACAUGCAAGUCGAACGGAAAGGCCCCUUCGGGGGUACUCGAGUGGCGAACGGGUGAGUAACACGUGGGUGAUCUGCCCUGCACUUCGGGAUAAGCCUGGGAAACUGGGUCUAAUACCGGAUAUGACCAUGGGAUGCAUGUCUUGUGGUGGAAAGCUUUUGCGGUGUGGGAUGGGCCCGCGGCCUAUCAGCUUGUUGGUGGGGUUAAGGCCUACCAAGGCGACGACGGGUAGCCGGCCUGAGAGGGUGACCGGCCACACUGGGACUGAGAUACGGCCCAGACUCCUACGGGAGGCAGCAGUGGGGAAUAUUGCACAAUGGGCGCAAGCCUGAUGCAGCGACGCCGCGUGAGGGACGACGGCCUUCGGGUUGUAAACCUCUUUCAGCACAGACGAAGCGCAAGUGACGGUAUGUGCAGAAGAAGGACCGGCCAACUACGCGCCAGCAGCCGC
rnacentral:rRNA from 1 species